rnacentral:rRNA from 1 species
GAUGAACGCUGGCGGCGUGCCUAAUACAUGCAAGUCGAGCGAACAGACGAGGAGCUUGCUCCUCUGACGUUAGCGGCGGACGGGUGAGUAACACGUGGAUAACCUACCUAUAAGACUGGGAUAACUUCGGGAAACCGGAGCUAAUACCGGAUAAUAUAUUGAACCGCAUGGUUCAAUAGUGAAAGACGGUUUUGCUGUCACUUAUAGAUGGAUCCGCGCCGCAUUAGCUAGUUGGUAAGGUAACGGCUUACCAAGGCAGCGAUGCGUAGCCGACCUGAGAGGGUGAUCCGCCACACUGGAACUGAGACACGGUCCAGACUCCUACGGGAGGCAGCAGUAGGGAAUCUUCCGCAAUGGGCGAAAGCCUGACGGAGCAACGCCGCGUGAGUGAUGAAGGUCUUCGGAUCGUAAAACUCUGUUAUUAGGGAAGAACAAAUGUGUAAGUAACUAUGCACGUCUUGACGGUACCUAAUCAGAAAGCCACGGCUAACUACGUG